GACGGAGGAUGCAAGCGUUAUCGGGAAUUAUUGGGCGUAAAGGGUGCGUAGGUGGUCAGACAAGUCCCAUGUCAAAGCAUGGUGCUUAACGCCAUAAAGGCGUGGGAAACUGUCAGACUAGAGUACAGCAGGGGCAGGAGGAAUUCCCGGUGUAGCGGUGAAAUGCGUAGAUAUCGGGAAGAACACCAGUGGCGCAAGCGUCCUGCUGGGUUGUAACUGACACUGAGGCACGAAAGCUAGGGGAGCGAAAGGG
rnacentral:rRNA from 1 species